GAUGAACGCUGGCGGCGUGCCUAAUACAUGCAAGUCGAGCGAACAGACGAGGAACUUGCUCCUCUGACGUUAGCGGCGGACGGGUGAGUAACACGUGGAUAACCUACCUAUAAGACUGGGAUAACUUCGGGAAACCGGAGCUAAUACCGGAUAAUAUAUUGAACCGCAUGGUUCAAUAGUGAAAGACGGUUUUGCUGUCACUUAUAGAUGGAUCCGCGCCGCAUUAGCUAGUUGGUAAGGUAACGGCUUACCAAGGCAACGAUGCGUAGCCGACCUGAGAGGGUGAUCGGCCACACUGGAACUGAGACACGGUCCAGACUCCUACGGGAGGCAGCAGUAGGGAAUCUUCCGCAAUGGGCGAAAGCCUGACGGAGCAACGCCGCGUGAGUGCUGAAGGUCUUCGGAUCGUAAAACUCUGUUAUUAGGGAAGAACAAAUGUGUAAGUAACUAUGCACGUCUUGACGGUACCUAAUCAGAAAGCCACGGCUAACUACGUG
rnacentral:rRNA from 1 species